rnacentral:rRNA from 1 species
GUGGGUAGUUUGACUGGGGCGGUCUCCUCCUAAAGAGUAACGGAGGAGCACGAAGGUUGGCUAAUCCUGGUCGGACAUCAGGAGGUUAGUGCAAUGGCAUAAGCCAGCUUGACUGCGAGCGUGACGGCGCGAGCAGGUGCGAAAGCAGGUCAUAGUGAUCCGGUGGUUCUGAAUGGAAGGGCCAUCGCUCAACGGAUAAAAGGUACUCCGGGGAUAACAGGCUGAUACCGCCCAAGAGUUCAUAUCGACGGCGGUGUUUGGCACCUCGAUGUCGGCUCAUCACAUCCUGGGGCUGAAGUAGGUCCCAAGGGUAUGGCUGUUCGCCAUUUAAAGUGGUACGCGAGCUGGGUUUAGAACGUCGUGAGACAGUUCGGUCCCUAUCUGCCGUGGGCGCUGGAGAACUGAGGGGGGCUGCUCCUAGUACGAGAGGACCGGAGUGGACGCAUCACUGGUGUUCGGGUUGUCAUGCCAAUGGCACUGCCCGGUAGCUAAAUGCGGAAGAGAUAAGUGCUGAAAGCAUCUAAGCACGAAACUUGCCCCGAGAUGAGUUCUCCCUGAGACUUAAAGUCUCCUGAAGGAACGUUGAAGACGACGACGUUGAUAGGCCGGGUGUGUAAGCGCAGCGAUGCGUUGAGCUAACCGGUACUAAUGAACCGUGAGG